GGCUCAGGAUGAACGCUAGCUACAGGCUUAACACAUGCAAGUCGAGGGGCAGCAUGAACAAAGCUUGCUUUGUUUGAUGGCGACCGGCGCACGGGUGAGUAACACGUAUCCAACCUGGCCGUUACUCGGGAAUAGCCUUCCGAAAGGAAGAUUAAUGCUCGAUGGUAUAUAUUUAUCGCAUGAUUUCUAUAUUAAAGAUUUAUCGGUAGCGGAUGGGGAUGCGUUCCAUUAGAUAGUUGGCGGGGUAACGGCCCACCAAGUCUUCGAUGGAUAGGGGUUCUGAGAGGAAGGUCCCCCACACUGGAACUGAGACACGGUCCAGACUCCUACGGGAGGCAGCAGUGAGGAAUAUUGGUCAAUGGUCGGAAGACUGAACCAGCCAAGUAGCGUGAAGGAUGACUGCCCUACGGGUUGUAAACUUCUUUUGUUUGGGAAUAAAAGACGCUACGUGUAGCGUUCUGCAUGUACCUUACGAAUAAGCAUCGGCUAAUUCCGUG
rnacentral:rRNA from 1 species